UGAGUACGGCGGAACACGUGAAAUUCCGUCGGAAUCCGGGAGGACCAUCUCCCAAGGCUAAAUACUCCCUAGUGACCGAUAGUGAACCAGUACCGUGAGGGAAAGGUGAAAAGCACCCCGGAAGGGGAGUGAAACAGUUCCUGAAACCGUGUGCCUACAAGUAGUUAGAGCCCGUUAAUGGGUGAUAGCGUGCCUUUUGUAGAAUGAACCGGCGAGUUACGAUUUGUUGCAAGGUUAAGCGGAAAAAGCGGAGCCGUAGCGAAAGCGAGUCUGAAUAGGGCGCAUAAGUAACAGGUCGUAGACCCGAAACCAGGUGAUCUACCCAUGUCCAGGAUGAAGGUAAGGUAAUACUUACUGGAGGUCCGAACCCACGCACGUUGAAAAGUGCGGGGAUGAGGUGUGGGUAGCGGAGAAAUUCCAAUCGAACUUGGAGAUAGCUGGUUCUCUCCGAAAUAGCUUUAGGGCUAGCCUCGAGGUAAAGAGUCAUGGAGGUAGAGCACUGUUUGGACUAGGGGCCCUUCUCGGGUUACCGAAUUCAGAUAAACUCCGAAUGCCAUGUACUUAUACUCGGGAGUCAGACUGCGAGUGAUAAGAUCCGUAGUCGAAAGGGAAACAGCCCAGACCACCAGUUAAGGUCCCCAAAUAUAUGUUAAGUGGAAAAGGAUGUGGGGUUGCUUAGACAACCAGGAUGUUGGCUUAGAAGCAGCCACCAUUGAAAGAGUGCGUAAUAGCUCACUGGUCGAGUGACCCCGCGCCGAAAAUGUACCGGGGCUAAACAUAUUACCGAAACUGUGGAUGAACCUCUUUAGAGGUUCGUGGUAGGAGAGCGUUCUAAGGGCGGUGAAGUCAGACCGGAAGGACUGGUGGAGCGCUUAGAAGUGAGAAUGCCGGUAUGAGUAGCGAAAGAAGGGUGAGAAUCCCUUCCACCGAAUAUCUAAGGUUUCCUGAGGAAGGCUCGUCCGCUCAGGGUUAGUCGGGACCUAAGCCGAGGCCGAUAGGCGUAGGCGAUGGACAACAGGUAGAGAUUCCUGUACCAGUGCUAAUUGUUUAACCGAUGGGGUGACACAGAAGGAUAGGGAAUCGCACGAAUGGAAAUGUGCGUCCAAGCAGUGAGUGUGAGAAGUAGGCAAAUCCGCUUCUCGCGAAGCAUGAGCUGUGAUGGGGAAGGAAAUUAAGUACGGAAGUUCCUGAUUUCACGCUGUCAAGAAAAGCCUCUAGGAAGAGUAGUACUGCCCGUACCGCAAACCGACACAGGUAGAUGAGGAGAGAAUCCUAAGGUGAGCGAGAGAACUCUCGUUAAGGAACUCGGCAAAAUGACCCCGUAACUUCGGGAGAAGGGGUGCUCUAUUAGGGUGCAAGCCCGAGAGAGCCGCAGUGAAUAGGCCCAGGCGACUGUUUAGCAAAAACACAGGUCUCUGCAAAACCGUAAGGUGACGUAUAGGGGCUGACGCCUGCCCGGUGCUGGAAGGUUAAGAGGAGUGCUUAGCUUCGGCGAAGGUACGAAUUGAAGCCCCAGUAAACGGCGGCCGUAACUAUAACGGUCCUAAGGUAGCGAAAUUCCUUGUCGGGUAAGUUCCGACCCGCACGAAAGGCGCAACGAUCUGGGCACUGUCUCAACGAGAGACUCGGUGAAAUU
rnacentral:rRNA from 1 species